GGAAACGAUAUUGGAAGCUUGCUUCCGAUAGGCGUCGACCGGCGCACGGGUGAGUAACGCGUAUCCAACCUGCCCAUCACUUGGGGAUAACCUUGCGAAAGUAAGACUAAUACCCAAUGAUAUCCGUCGAAGACAUCUGAAGUGGAUUAAAGAUUCAUCGGUGAUGGAUGGGGAUGCGUCUGAUUAGCUCGUUGGCGGGGUAACGGCCCACCAAGGCAACGAUCAGUAGGGGUUCUGAGAGGAAGGUCCCCCACAUUGGAACUGAGACACGGUCCAAACUCCUACGGGAGGCAGCAGUGAGGAAUAUUGGUCAAUGGACGAGAGUCUGAACCAGCCAAGUAGCGUGCAGGAUGACGGCCCUAUGGGUUGUAAACUGCUUUUAUAAGGGAAUAAAGUGGGAGUCGUGACUCCUUUUGCAUGUACCUUAUGAAUAAGGACCGGCUAAUUCCGUGCCAGCAGCCGCGGUAAUACGGAAGGUCCGGGCGUUAUCCGGAUUUAUUGGGUUUAAAGGGAGCGUAGGCCGGAGAUUAAGCGUGUUGUGAAAUGUAGAUGCUCAACAUCUGCACUGCAGCGCGAACUGGUUUCCUUGAGUACGCACAAAGUGGGCGGAAUUCGUGGUGUAGCGGUGAAAUGCUUAGAUAUCACGAAGAACUCCGAUUGCGAAGGCAGCUCACUGGAGCGCAACUGACGCUGAAGCUCGAAAGUGCGGGUAUCGAACAGGAUUAGAUACCCUGGUAGUCCGCACGGUAAACGAUGGAUGCCCGCUGUUGGUCUGAAUAGGUCAGCGGCCAAGCGAAAGCAUUAAGCAUCCCACCUGGGGAGUACGCCGGCAACGGUGCAACUCAAAGGAAUUGACGGA
rnacentral:rRNA from 1 species